rnacentral:rRNA from 1 species
CCUACGGGGGGCAGCAGUGAGGAAUAUUGGUCAAUGGCCGGAAGGCUGAACCAGCCAUGCCGCGUGAAGGUCAGUGCCCUAUGGGUUGUAAACCUCUUUUGUCGGGGAGCAAAAGCCGGACGUGUCCGGCUGUGAGAGUACCCGAAGAAAAAGCAUCGGCUAACUCCGUGCCAGCAGCCGCGGUAAUACGGAGGAUGCGAGCGUUAUCCGGAUUUAUUGGGUUUAAAGGGUGCGCAGGUGGAUUUUUAAGUCAGCGGUCAAAUCGUGGGGCUCAACCCCAUCCAGCCGUUGAAACUGGGGAUCUAGAGUGUGCGAGAGGUAUGCGGAAUGCGUGGUGUAGCGGUGAAAUGCAUAGAUAUCACGCAGAACCCCGAUUGCGAAGGCAGCAUACCGGUGCACAACUGACGCUCAGGCACGAAAGCGUGGGUAUCGAACAGGAUUAGAUACCCUGGUAGUC